rnacentral:rRNA from 1 species
CUCCGCCAGCGACCGGCGCACGGGUGAGUAACACGUAUCGCAACCUGCCCCUGUCAGGGGACAACCCGCCGAAAGGCGGGCUAAACCCGCGUACAUGCCACCGGGGCAUCCCGGAGGCAGGAAAGGCUUCGGCCGGACAGGGAUGGGCAUGCGGCGCAUUAGGCAGUAGGCGGGGUAACGGCCCACCUAACCGACGAUGCGUAGGGGUUCUGAGAGGAAGGUCCCCCACACUGGUACUGAGACACGGACCAGACUCCUACGGAAGGCAGCAG